AACAAUUAAGGGGACUUGUCCUGCCAUGUUGUUACUCAGAACUGAAAACGCCCUCUGGAUUCAUGUUUCCUCAUUUCCCGGCCAGCUCAUUCCACCAAAUGACAUGAUUAUGUGACGCCGCUAUGUCAGGUUGUCAAACAGGAAGUUUUACCAUAAAGGAUUAUACUUGUGGUGGGAUAUAGAGAGGAAACUCUGUGCUUCCAAACCAUCAAGAACACUUGAGUGGCAUCGGUUUCCUCCAACACAUAUCACUAUAUAUGAAGAUGUCACCUAAGAGAGGACACCAGCUAGAUAUUGCUGACCUUCUGAUUGCCUGACUGCCAUGUAAAUACCUGGGAAGGGCCAGAUUAAAUGGUCAUUGAUGCGUGAGAAUUUCCUAAGUGAAAGAAAUGAAGAAAGAAGAGUAAUAUCAUCUUGGAAGUCUUUGUAAACUAUUUAGAGAAAAAUAGUACAGCUGACUCUUGAACAACAUGGGUUUGAACUCUAUGGGUCUAUACUUACACUUGGAUGCAGAGAGCAAGAUGGAAUCACUCGUGUCAAGCAGCCAAGGGUGGUGCAGCUCCGACCAGAUAGCGCCCAAACCAGCACAGGCUAAUGACACCCAGAACGGAUAACAAGUAGAACCAGAGCAGGUUUGCUAAGGCCAAAGCAGGAUUAAAUUCCUUUAUAGAAGAGAGAUUUUUGCAGCAAACUGCCAGACUCUCCUGACACUGACCCUUUCAGGUCUCACCACAUCAAAAAGGCAACUGCCACAGAAGGCUCUACCCAACUGAUGUUGGAACAUAACAGAGAUUCUCCACGGCUUGAACAUAAUUAGCUGCACAGGGUGAGAGCCGACCCUGACCUGACGGAGACCCCAUCUCAACAGUGUGCUCAUGGAUGGACUUCGAGUUGAGUUCGUUAGCUUCUUACUCCUUGUUGGAUCUUGUUUGUUGUGUGACUUUAUAUGGUCCUGUGCUUUGUGUGAUGUGUAUGAAGCCAAGUUAAAUGCCGAGUGACAGGUCUUUGAGUUUGGAAUCCUGAAGCCGCUUUGCAAUUACAUUAGCCUUGCUUUAUCAUUGAAUGAAGCUGACACUAUGGAAAGACACAACUUGUGUGUGUGCCUUCAUAGCGUGCUCCACAAUAGGAUUGCUUCUGCACAUCGUGGAAGAGGGUGAGGUCACCACUCUGCUUUUGCUUCUUCAAGAGAUGCUGGGGUGCCCUUGUGUUUCUCUUUUGUCAGCACAAAAGGAGUGAGGAAGUGACAUAUGCCCUCUUGAGCUCCAUUGUCACGUUGGAAAUAGAAGCCCAGAGAGAGGUGGUAUAAGAGGCCUGCCAAUGCAUGUUCACCAGGUGGAAUAAUUCUGACACGUGGUCCAUCGGCAGUAAAGAGCUAAACUCGAAAAACAGUGUUGGCUGGUCUUGGUGGCAGAGGGUGGCUGAGAUGGUUUGGAAGGUUGUAAGUGGAAGAGAGACUGGAGGGUGAUUGGGGUGUGGAAGAAGGGAUGUUCCUGGCUCUGUCCAUUCAGAUGCUACGAAAGCAAGAGAUAGACCUGCAGGACCUCCAGGCACACUUCCUAUGUGUGAACUUUUUACGUUGCAGUGCUGGAAAUGUAUUUUCCUUCCUUAUGAUUU